rnacentral:rRNA from 1 species
AAUACCUAAAAUUUUCCAUGGCAGACUGCUCAGUAACACAUGAUCAACUUGCCCUAUGGAGAAAAAUAACCUCGGGAAACUGAGGAUAAUAUUUCAUAGUUGAAAAGGCUUGGAAAAGUUUUUCAAUUAAAGGGUUAAAAUAAGUGGUUUUUAAUUGCCAUAGGAUAGGAUCGUGCUCGAUUAUGGUAGUUGGUGAGGUAAUGGCUCACCAAGCCGAUAAUCGAUAGGGGCCGUGAGAGCGGGAGCCCCGAGAUGGGUACUGAGACAACGACCCAGACCUUACGAGGUGCAGCAGGCGCGAAACCUCCGCAAUACACGAAAGUGUGACGGGGUUACCCAAAGUGUUCUUAUAGAACUGUGGUAGGUGAGUAAUGUUCCCUACUAGAAAGGAGAGGGCAAGGCUGGUGCCAGCCGCCGCGGUAAAACCAGCUCUUCAAGUGGUCGGGAUAAUUAUUGGGCUUAAAGUGUCCGUAGCCGGUUUAGUAAGUUCCUGGUAAAAUCGAGUAGCUUAACUAUUCGUAUGCUAGGAAUACUGCUAAUACUAGAGGGCGGGAGAGGUCUGAGGUACUACUGGGGUAGGGGUGAAAUCUUAUAAUCCUAGUAGGACCACCAGUGGCGAAGGCGUCAGACUGGAACGCGCCUGACGGUGAGGGACGAAAGCCAGGGGAGCGAACCGGAUUAGAUACCCGGGUAGUCCUGGCCGUAAACGAUGCAUACUAGGUGAUGGCACGGCCAUGAGCCGUGUCAGUGCCGUAGGGAAACCGUUAAGUGUGCCGCCUGGGAAGUACGGUCGCAAGGCUAAAACUUAAAGGAAUUGGCGGGGGAGCACCACAAGGGGUGAAGCCUGCGGUUUA